UACAGAGGGGGCAAGCGUUAUUCGGAAUUACUGGGCGUAAAGCGUGCGUAGGCGGUUCUCCAAGUCCGUUGUGAAAGCCCCGGGCUCAACCUGGGAAUGGCAGUGGAAACUAGGGGACUGGAAUCUGGCAGAGGGGGGUGGAAUGCCGCGUGUAGCAGUGAAAUGCGUAGAGAUGCGGCGGAACACCGAUGGCGAAGGCAGCCCCCUGGGCUGAGAUUGACGCUCAGGCACGAAAGCGUGGGGAGCAAACAGG
rnacentral:rRNA from 1 species